AGUGAACGCUGGCGGUAGGCCUAACACAUGCAAGUCGAACGGCAGCACAGUAAGAGCUUGCUCUUACGGGUGGCGAGUGGCGGACGGGUGAGGAAUACAUCGGAAUCUACUUUUUCGUGGGGGAUAACGUAGGGAAACUUACGCUAAUACCGCAUACGACCUACGGGUGAAAGCAGGGGAUCUUCGGACCUUGCGCGAUUGAAUGAGCCGAUGUCGGAUUAGCUAGUUGGCGGGGUAAAGGCCCACCAAGGCGACGAUCCGUAGCUGGUCUGAGAGGAUGAUCAGCCACACAGGAACUGAGAGACGGUCCAGACUCCUACGGGAGGCAGCAGUGGGGAAUAUUGGACAAUGGGCGCAAGCCUGAUCCAGCCAUACCGCGUGGGUGAAGAAGGCCUACGGGUUGUAAAGCCCUUUUGUUGGGAAAGAAAAGCAGCAGGUUAAUACCCCGCUGUUCUGACGGUACCCAAAGAAUAAGCACCGGCUAACUUCGU
rnacentral:rRNA from 1 species